CUUAAUAAUUUUAUGCAUACAAAAUUGAGCAGUAAUUGCCAAAUAAAUUAUAAACAUUUUUCGUAAUGCCAGGAAACAACGAAUGUUUAAUUUUCUUCUUUUGCAAUGCAAAAUCAUCGGAUAGACAUCGCAUUAAUAUUACCGCCAAUUUUAAAUAUUGCCCAUUGCCAUGACGCGCAGGAAAGUGAAAGAUGAGUUUUAAAUAUAUGUUAAUAUUUAUUGGACCAAAUUUACAACAAAGUUCUCAAUUCAAAAAAUAAACUUGUAAGCAAUAGUUGAAUUAUUAAUUAAAGGCGCGCAUGUAGAAUGUCUACCUAGCGCCAUCUAUGUAUGGAUGUAUAUUUUGAGAUAUCAUCAGAUCAUCAGAUAAACUUAUCUUUAGAAAAUUAUGAAUUUACCGCUAUCCUGAUUCCAUUGUGAUUAUAGCACUGCAUACCUUCAAAAUAGAAAAUAAAGGAACAACCCCCCGUUAAUUACUCAGCUUUUUUUAUUUUUGCAACGACCUUUGGGUAAUCAUUUAAUUCUAGUGUCUACGCAGUCCGAUUAAAAUUAUACUAAGAUUCUCUUCGCUAGCUCCGUCGGCCACAAAAUUACAAUAUAUUUGUUAGGUACUUGCGUUUGUUUCUUGGCUAGUUUGGAAUUGAAAACAACUAAAUUUUAAAAUUAAAGCAGA
rnacentral:sRNA from 1 species